GUCUUUUUGAUUAUAAUUUAAAGUCUAACCUGCCCAAUGAGGAGUUAAAUGGCCGCGGUAUUUUGACCGUGCAAAGGUAGCAUAAUCAUUAGUUUUUUAAUUGAAAGCUGGUAUGAAUGGUUGGACGAGAAAAUAACUGUCUCAAUUUAAUUUUUAUUAGAAUUUUAUUUAUAAGUAAAAAAGCUUAUAUGUAUUUAAAAGACGAGAAGACCCUAUAGAAUUUUAUAUAUGAAUAUACAUAUUAUUUUUAGAAUUUUAAUUUUUAUGUAUAUUAUUAUAUUUUGUUGGGGCGAUAGAAAAAUUAGAUUAACUUUUUUUGUGUUAAAACAUUAAUGUAUGACUAAUUGAUCCGUUUUUUACGAUUAUAAGAUUAAAUUACCUUAGGGAUAACAGCGUAAUUUUUUUUUAGAGUUCUUAUCGAAAAAAGAGUUUGCGACCUCGAUGUUGGAUUAAAAUUAACUUUUGGUGUAGGGGCUAAAAGGUUAGGUCUGUUCGACCUUUAAAAUUUUACA
rnacentral:rRNA from 1 species